CAACCAUAAUAAAAGUUGUGUGGCAAUCCUCUGUGGAGAAACAAAUUGAAGGUAAUUUGUCAAAAUAUACAUAUUUUUCUUAUAGUAAAUUUUGUUUAGAUUGUCUUGCUUGAAUUGAUUUGUAUGAAUAUGUUUUCUUGUCAAGGUUUUAAGUUACAAAUGAUAAGAAUAUUUUCUCGUUGUGUUUUAUUUUUUCAUUGGACUGGUGCAACUAACUUUUCGAGCUUGUUUUUUUAAGUUUUGUAAUGCUCAUUAUUCCUGAAGCUGGUUUUGAAAUUUCCGACAAGAACUCUGUGACUUCACCUUUUCCGAUUAACAGGGUUUAAGUGUUGAUCAGUAGAUCAACUUUUUGAAGAGUUAUGACAUAUUGAGAGAUGCUCCUGAUUCAUAUUUGAGUUUCAAGUGUUAGUGAACCACCCUUUCAAGUGUAAUAUUAAGUUGAAAAAUUAUGAGCAUUUCCAGUAAUGCUACCACUAGUUCAGACAAUGACAAUGAUGAUUACAUUAUGCUCUGUGCUAUAGUUGAUCAUACUGAACAAGUCGUAUGAGAAAGUAGGUUAUUAUUCGCCAACCGCAACAUACAUCUAAACUUGGUAUGGCAUGAGUUGUUUUCUUCUUUGGGGACAUCAUAUGUGUUGUAUGAAUCUAUGCAUUUUUAUCUUGAAACAUUUGAGCGUCUUAUCGACGUAAUAAGAUAAAAUAAUUUGUUAUCAUCUGAGGAUAGAACCACACAUGUACCAUUAAUGGAGUGUGCAACGAUUUUCCUAACUGUCGUUGCACGUAAUAAUAGUCAACGAUCAGCAAGUGAAUGUUUUCAACAUUCACUCGAGACAAUUAACCUCCACGUUAGAAGAGUUGCUGAGGCACUUUGUCAUUUGCACCAACAUAUGUAUAUCUAAAUAAUAUGACCGGGUAUACUUGCAAAACUUCGCCACAACAACUGCUUUUGGCCUUGGUUCAAGGAUUCUAUUGGUGAAAUUGAUGGAACAUAUAUUCAAGGCGAAGUCCCAAAAACUAAGCGACAAACAUAUCGUAAUCAUAAAGAAAAUACUUCACAAAAUAUUUUAUGUGCAUGUGAUUUUGACAUGAGGUUCACCUUUAUUACAGCAGGAUGGAAGAGUACUGCCCAUGAUAGUAAAGUGCUUGAGAAUGCAAUUCUUGACUCAUCGUCUAACUUUCCAUUUACACCAAUGAAAAAUAUUACGUUGUUGAUGCUGGUCUACGGAACACAAGAGGAUUUUUAGCUCCAUACAAAGGAAUGUGCUAUCAUUUACAAGACCACCGAGGAAGUGAAAGAGCGCUUAAGAAUGGAAAAGAGCUAUUUAACUAUAGACAUGCUUCUCUGCGCAAUUAAUUAAUUGAAAGAACUUUAGGUGCGUGGAAAAGUAGAUUCAGAAUACGACGACAAGACAUGAACAACUAUGAAUGUGACAUGCAAGUGAAAAUAGUAAUUCAUUGCGCUGUAUUACAUAAUUUUUUACGUGAACACAAAAAAUGUGAUGGAAUAUUCAAUGAAUAUGAAAUGAUGAUAUGAUUGUUGAUGAAAAUGACGAACUAUUCGGCUCAGGGUAACAACAUCGCUUCAUUUUCUCGAUCAUCUGAGUCGGAAAUGCAAGGUCAUCGAGAAGAGAUUGUUCAUAAAAUGUGGAAUGAUUAUAUUAAAGAAUAGUUUGAACUCUUUCAGAUGAGAAGACAUAAGUUCUUCGGUGUUGCAAUAUUUAUUUCCUUCUAUUUU